rnacentral:rRNA from 1 species
AUUGAACGCUGGCGGCAUGCCUUACACAUGCAAGUCGAACGGUAACGCGGGGCAACCUGGCGACGAGUGGCGAACGGGUGAGUAAUGCAUCGGAACGUGCCCAGUAGUGGGGGAUAGCCCGGCGAAAGCCGGAUUAAUACCGCAUACGACCUACGGGUGAAAGCGGGGGACCGUAAGGCCUCGCGCUAUUGGAGCGGCCGAUGUCAGAUUAGCUAGUUGGUGGGGUAAAGGCCCACCAAGGCGACGAUCUGUAGCGGGUCUGAGAGGAUGAUCCGCCACACUGGGACUGAGACACGGCCCAGACUCCUACGGGAGGCAGCAGUGGGGAAUAUUGGACAAUGGGGGAAACCCUGAUCCAGCAAUGCCGCGUGAGUGAUGAAGGCCUCGGUUGUAAGACUCUUUAUUCAGGAAGAUGAUGACGGUACCGUGAUGAUAAGACUCCGGCUAACUUCGUGCCAGCAGCCGCGGUAAGUAGUCGUG